rnacentral:rRNA from 1 species
UACAGAGGUCUCAAGCGUUGUUCGGAUUCAUUGGGCGUAAAGGGUGCGUAGGUGGCGCCGUAAGUCAGGUGUGAAAUUUCGGAGCUUAACUCCGAAACUGCAUUUGAUACUGCGGUGCUUGAGGACUGGAGAGGAGACUGGAAUUUACAGUGUAGCAGUGAAAUGCGUAGAGAUCGUAAGGAAGACCAGUGGCGAAGGCGGGUCUCUGGACAGUUCCUGACACUGAGGCACGAAGGCCAGGGGAGCAAACGGG